GGGAGAAGCCGGGAGUGNCUCCGGCCCUCAGCCCUGGGCCCUGGCCCCUCUGCGGCGCUGCGGGUCCCCAAAACCCCCUGCGGGGCUGGUCCUGGGGCUCUGUGUCCCCAAAACCCCGUGCGGGGCUGGCCCUGGGGCUCUCUGUCCCCAAAACCCCGUGCGGGGCUGGCCUUGGGGCUCUGUGUCCCCAAAACCCCGUGCGGGGCUGGCCCUGGGGUUCUCUGUCCCCAAAACCCCGUGCGGGGCUGGCCCUGGGGCUCUGUGUCCCCAAAACCCCCUGCGGGGCUGGCCUUGGGGCUCUGUGUCCCCAAAACCCCGUGCGGGGCUGGCCUUGGGGCUCUGUGUCCCCAAAACCCCGUGCGGGGCUGGCCUUGGGGCUCUGUGUCACCCAGACCCUUGUGCCUCAAUAUCCAUGGGGCAGGGGCCCCCUGUGCAUCGAUGUCAGUGGGGCUGUGUGCCCCCAACACCUUCUGUGUUGAUGUCCAUGUGUCCCCAACACCUUGUGCAUUGAUGCCCAUGUGGCUGUGUGUCCCCAGCACCCUGUGUGUUGAUGUCCCAUUUGGGGACACACAGAUGGGGACACACAGCCCCAUUGAUGGCGAUGGGGCUGUGUGUCCCCAUCACCCUGUGCAUCAAUAUCCAUGGGGCUGUGUGUCCCCAUCACCCUGUUUGUUGAUGUCCAUGUGUCCCCAUCACCGUGUGUAUGGCUGUCCUUGGGGCUUGUGUGUCCCCAACACCCUGUGUGUUGAUGUCCAUGUGUCCCCAUCACCCCGUGCAUUGAUGUCCAUGGGGCUUGUGUGUCCCCAACACCUUGUGUGUUGAUGUCCAUGUGUCCCCAUCACCCCGUGCAUUGAUGUCCAUGGGGCUUGUGUGUCCCCAUCACCCUGUGUGUUGAUGUCCAUGUGUCCCCAACACCCUGUGCAUUGAUGUCCAUGGGGCUUGUGUGUCCCCAUCACCCUGUGUGUUGAUGUCCAUGUGCCCCCAACACCCUGUGCAUUGAUGUCCAUAGGGCUUGUGUGUCCCCAACACCCUGUGUGUUGAUGUCCGUGUGUCCCCAACACCUUGUGUGUUGAUGUCCAUGUGUCCCCAUCACCCCGUGCAUUGAUGUCCAUGGGGCUGUGUGUCCCCCAUCACCCUGUCCAUCGCUCCCCAUGGGGCUGUGUCCCCCCCCAGCACCCCACACCUGCCCACCCAGCC
rnacentral:lncRNA from 1 species